CACGUAGGGUGCGAGCGUUGUCCGGAAUUAUUGGGCGUAAAGAGCUCGUAGGCGGUGUGUCGCGUCGGCCGUGAAAACCUGCAGCUUAACUGUGGGCUUGCGGUCGAUACGGGCAUCACUGGAGUUCGGCAGGGGAGACUGGAAUUCCUGGUGUAGCGGUGAAAUGCGUAGAGAUCAGGAGGAACACCCGUGGCGAAGGCGGCUCCCUGGUCCGGUUCUGACGCUGAGACGCGAAAGCGCGGGGAGCGAACGGG
rnacentral:rRNA from 1 species